UGUGCUGAUAGUUUAAUGAAAAUAUUGUCCCUUCAGGACAAAGAUGCCUGUUCGUAGCAGGUUCGGCACAA
rnacentral:tRNA from 1 species